rnacentral:rRNA from 1 species
UACGGGGGGAGCAAGCGUUGUUCGGAUUUACUGGGCGUAAAGGGCGCGUAGGCGGCCACCGCAAGUCGACUGUGAAAUCCCCGGGCUCAACCCGGGAACUGCGUCCGAUACUGGAUGGCUUGAAUCCGGGAGAGGGAUGCAGAAUUCCAGGUGUAGCGGUGAAAUGCGUAGAUAUCUGGAGGAAUACCGGUGGCGAAGGCGGCAUCCUGGACCGGCAUUGACGCUGAGGAGCGAAAGCUAGGGGAGCAAACGGG